CCGAGAGAAAACUUGCGAUGAGCCUAGGAUUUGCACAUCCAGCCUGUUUCUUUUAUGGCGCUGCUAAAAUGAUAUAUGUAGAUGAAGCAGGAAAGGAUGCUGUUAUUAGGCCUCCUUGUGAUGGAUAACCUGAGCCGUAGCAAGGGCCAGACUGUGCAGAUGAAAAUUCGAGGGGAACAAGACAUGCUGCAUGGAAGAAUGAGGACUGCAGAUGUGGCCAGGGCAAUACAUUUAACUGGCAAAUAUGGUGCAGUCCAUGAGGAGGAGAUGCAUCCACCCCUCCCCCUUUGUUCAGGGACACAUUAUUCCAUUUCUGUUAGUCACAUGUCUGUGAAACUCGUUCUGUUAAUGUCUUAGUUGUUGAAACUUUUUAUGUUCAUACAAAUAUUUACAAUGUUAAAUUUGCUGAAAAUAAAAGCAGUUGA